rnacentral:rRNA from 1 species
UACGGAGGGGGCUAGCGUUGUUCGGAAUUACUGGGCGUAAAGCGCGCGUAGGCGGACCUGCAAGUCGGGGGUGAAAGCCCGAGGCUCAACCUCGGAACUGCCUUCGAUACUGCGGGUCUCGAGUCCGGGAGAGGUGAGUGGAAUUCCGUAGUGUAGAGGUGAAAUUCGAUAGAUAUUAGGAAGAACACCAGUGGCGGAAGGCGGCUCACUGGCCCGGUAC